UUUGAAACUGAAGAGAUGUAAACAUGUUUUUUCCUGAACACUUAUUCCUUAAAGCAUAUGAGAAUUAAAAUGUUGGGAGUCUAUUUUUCCACUAAUAACCUAAAACAUUUGAUCCUACGAUUUUAAACCAUAAGUAGACAAGGCUGGAUGCACAUCAGAAUCUCACAGAAGCUUCUGGAUAAGGGCCUCACCCAAGACUAUCUGAACCAGAAUCUCUAGGGCGGGGCCCUGGCAAGGUUUGCUUGUUUUUGAAAAGUCUGCUCCAGGUGAAAUUUACCAGUGGCACACGGAACUUCAGAAAGUUUAGGAAAGGAGUUUCUUCUUUUGGUUUUACGUGACAAGUGGUGAUGGUAUGCUCUGUAAAAGGUAUCUUUCAGAAUAUGUGACCUGCACUCGACAGCUGGAUUGUCGAAGGUGUGCACCACGUUUCUAAGGAUACGUCUUUCACUUCCAUACAACUGAACACCGCAUGCGGCCGCCUGGACCCAAGGAGGCAGUGUGGUUCAUGCUGGAUACGUACCAUGUAGGCAGGUUUUAUAUUUACCUUUUUAAAUAAGACAAGAUGGUGCUUUAAACAGACCAAACUUACUUCCCUAUGCAUAAAAAAGGCACAAAUGAUCCCUUAAAAAUGCAUAAUCUCAAACUCUACACUCAGGCCUAAACUCUGUGACACAAGCCAAGGUCUUCUAAUCUAUAAUCCAUCAGGGCUCACGGUCCAAAUGGCAAAUUUUAAGAGUAGGUAAUAAAAAUUUAACCACAGUCUGACUCUGGGAAGAGAAAGUGCAAGUCGGAAAACACAGAAACAUUACUAAAGCAUCUGUCUCUAAUAAAUCGUAACUUUGAGCAGGAAAAAUGAAAUUAUACCCCCUCAGAUUUGGUGCACCUGGGGAGGGACUGUAAAAGCAAAUACAUUAACAGCUUUUCUGGAAGAAAUCUGAAAUAAAAGCAAGGAGUUAUCAAUUCACAACAAACUAUAAUAGCAGAUUUAGAUAAACCAAAGAGAAAAUUUUUGAUUUAUGCCCUUCUGGACUAACUUCAAAGUUCUAUCACAAAGAUAUUACACCUUAGGUUGUACGACGUGUACAGUAAGGACUGAUUUUUUUUAAAGUUUUCAAAGAAAAUAUUUACACAUUAUUAUACACAUAAUGCUACAAUCACAGUUCCGGUGGCUGCCCAUUUCCCAAAUUGUCUAAAAAAGACUCUUGUAGGAGGGAGUAUGUGGACACAUUUCUUCAUGGCACUGAAGCAGAGGAAGGAACAGGCUGUCCCGAGUACAUUCAAUGUGGCUUCUAGUUAAACCACAACUCUUGGCUUGAAUACGCCACGCAAGAUUCCCAAAAACUGGUAUACUGCACACGCUAUAGGUAGCACAUAAAUUAACAGUCAAGAAUAUCUCAAUUCAUGUUUUACUGAUCCACUUUGUCACAAGAUAAGGCAAUGCUUUUCAGAUAGACCGGCUAGGCACUUUUAAAUUCACACUGGAUUUUGAAAUGUUCUUCGCAUGUACUAAGUUAGGUCAAAAAAAGGAAUAAUUAAAGAUGCUUAGGAACACAAUUUUAAGAUAUGCCCAGAGUCUUCAUCCGCUCUUGAAGCAUUACUGAACCAGAAAAAGUAUAUAUUAGUAAUAAAAGCAAACUAAAAAUCUGUAAAAGGUACUACAAACUACAUAUAGUUCUUGUUCGCAGGUCAGAGGGAAUGAUAGGAUACUGACUAACUCUGAACAUUAAGGGCAGACGCCAAUACAUCCUAAAACAAAAUGACAAAAUAGAAUCUAUGGCAAUAAACACAGUUACAUAUUGAUAAAAGGUAUAGGUCAUUAUGCAAAAUAAAUUAUAGAAAUUUACAUACUUUACACAGCUAGAAAAUAACAUCUAAAAGCAAAAAUUGAUUAAAAUACAAAAUUCAGAUUAGAGUAGGGAACUAGUAUAAUUCUCUCAGAAUAUAACAUCAGAAUAAAAACCUGACACAGAGGAACAAAUUAUACAAUUAGCAACUUGAAUUAUGUACAAAAACUUUGUAUAUGCUAAAAAUAGUCACCAAAAAUCACUAUGUAUUAAGCCACACAGAAAAUCUAAAAAUACUCCCCGAAGCAAAAACCAGUAAGGUUGCAAUGUAGACUACUGACUGCCAUGUACUAAAAUUAGAAGUUAAAAAC